rnacentral:lncRNA from 1 species
AAAAAAAAAAAAAAAAAGAGUACAUAGACAAGAAAAAGAAAUCGUACUAGGGUACCAUAACGCCAACGUUCCAAAACAAUGAUGAAAAGAAACAGACUUCAAUUCCUACAUUCGUAAUGCCAUUACUUCCCGUUUAACAUAUAUUAGAUCAUUAUUGUACAGAAAAAAAUGCAGUUUGUGUCGAGAAUAUAUCUCGAAUUUGAGCCUCAAACUAAAACCCAUCCCAGUAGAUGUCUCAGUUUGGGUAGCUUUCCCAGCUUCUUACUUUGGAUGCAACAGUUAUUCAUAUACAUGAGCCGGAACCUACGCCGGAGCAACAGAGAAAGAUUGUCAGGAUUUUCUAUUCGAGUUUUCUAUACUUUGUGAUAGAUUGUAAAAUAAACCUUUUUUGGGUUUAGUUUUAGGUGUGAUCGGGGGUAAGAAAUACUCAAGCGAUGGAGCCAUUGUAAAAUAUGUACUCCCAACUCUCCCCAUAGAGCAAUAUCGAUAAACAUAUCAAAAUACGCAAGUCUCUGAUGUACCUAUCAUUCCUUAUGUUAUUUAUUUCACAACAUUGUAUGAUAAUACUACUUUUGCUACUUAGAAAUUGUUUUUCUGCACAAUACUUUACUUCCCGAACAUUUCGUGGUUUAAUCAUCACCAGGAUAUUGCACUUUCCUAAUUAUAAUCUUUCUAUAUUACCUACAACAAAAACAUAAUUGCUAUGAAGACAUUCACAACACACUUGUUAAAGCAAAUGCACAGACCAAGUAUCUAGUUAUAGAUAAUUUGUAUGAUUCAAUAAAGUCUACAUGAUUAGAAUUAAAAUGAAAGCAAUAUAAUUUAACAACCCACUUAACUAGAUAUUAUAAUUAGCUAAGUCAAACCUGUCAAAGGGCGCGUUUGGUUGGGCUUUGCAAAUGAACCUUGACAAAAUGCAAAUGCCUUUGACAUAAAGUCAUUUGAAAAAAAUGUAAAUUGCAUUCAAUAAAAAAUAAUAAUUUACAAACUACUUUUAUCCUAAAUAAUGUUUCACUGGGUCUUAUUUUUAAUUAAAAAAAUCAAAACCCUCUGGCGAAUGGCUAAGGUAGUCAAUGAGCCAAAUCUGACACUAGCAAGUAGCAACCAUCGCUCAAGGUCAUUAGACCCCUAGCAAGGGUCGCGCAACCCUAGGUAAUCAUCACACAACUUCUUUAACCCCUCGCUAGCCUCUCACCAACCCUUCAUUGGCCUAAUUUAGCCUCAUCAGUUGCCCUUUCUCAAAAAAGAUGAGUAGUAAUAGAGGACAAAAUCAAAAAAUUAAAGAAUUGACGAGGGUAGUUUUGGAAAAAAAAUUAAUUUCAACAUUUGGUCAAUUGCUAAAAGCCUAAUGAUAAUUCCUAUUAGCUAAGAAUGUUUAAAAAACCUAUGUUGGCCCAGCCUAAACAUAAAAUUAGGAUAUGUUGGGGUCGAGCCUUUAUAGGUGUUUGUAUUGUUUUGGUUCAGGUUAGGUCGAGCCGGGCCAACGCGAAUUCUUUUCUCUCCAUGCAUGCGCAACGAGGACAAAACACCUAGCUAAAUGGUGCCAACACCAGCUCGACCCAUUCUCUUAGGUUAUAUGAUAUUCGAGUAUCAAAUUGGGUUGAGUCGAAUCAAGCAUGUCCUAUGAUGUUCGAGUAUCAAAUUGGGUUGAGUCGAAUCAAGCAUGUCCUGCAGGAUUUCAGGUCGAGUCAGGUCAAGUCGGGUAUUAUAAAAACCCAACCCUUUGACACCCCUACUUGAGCUUUUAACUUUCCCAAGGUCAAAUUAAGAUCAACAUUUGACCGAAAGCUCUUUGAAAAAACUUGCCAAAACACCCCUAAAAAGUAGUCUUCUUCAGGCUAGAGGGAGAAGACUACCUGAAGAAGACUAGCAGUUAUUUGAAGGCGAUAAACAUCGAUCUGAACUAAAAAUAUUGGCUAAGACUUAAAAGAGUAUCAUGCUCUCAAGAGUAACCUGAUGGUAUACCUGAGAAGCGUACCAAUACAGUAAUAUACAGCAACAGAAUUUAGGUGAACACAGACGACACAUUCCACAUAGACACUACACGACGCACCGACGCUAGAGCAACGAAACCAAGUUCGCUUAUUCUGCAGUUGCUGGCAAUGCCAUAGCAGCUGGAAAUUCCACGCGCACACACACACACACAGAGUCCCACAAUGCAAAUACUGAAAGGAUCGCAAAUACUGAAAGGAUCGCUUCUCACUGCAGAACCAGGCAAUCCUUCUUCCCGCGCACCAUAUUGGGGCAGGGGGCGGCAAAGUCCGCCAGAGGUUCAGCAUUGGGCUCAUCAAGCGAGCUUGGAGCAACGUCAUCAAUGCUGCAAGAGAUUGCUUCAAAGAUCAGGUCGCUCACUUCACGGAACCUCUCCUCAGAUAGGGAAACCUCCGCUAGGAGCCUCCAUGCAUUCUCCUCAGAUGCCUCCUCAUAGUCUUUCUUCCUCUUCAGGACCAUAUGCCCACUGAUUUCCCACACUGCCGGGUUCACUUGCGUGUCCAGAACCUCCGCAUCGACUUCUCCGAGAGCUUGCUUCUCCGCAUAGCACUGAUCGUUACACCAACACAUUAGUCAGGAUCUUUCGGGGAGUUUAUUCAUGAAGUCUUCAAAAUAUUGAGAAAUAAAGAUUGUCAAUCACCUGUGGGAAGAGGAAAAUGCGCUUUCCACAAUCAGAUAUGAGGACGUUGUAAGGUAUAUUGUUGUCUUGAAGGCAGAUGCAUGAGUCCGAAACUGCAUUGGCCAAGUCUUGUAUGGUAUUUCCACCUUCAUAAACAAGACCUCUGACUGGAUAAUUGACAAGUUCAGAUACAUUCACCCCACUGUCCAGGGCUGUUAUGUUUCGAGUGGAAGCCUUCUCAACAGGGAAGGGCACAGCCAAAUAGUAUGCCUGUUCAAUAUUGAUAACCAAGUUACAUCUUUUAUCGUACUGAAGUUUACAAGUCAAUAUUCAUCAAAGCCAACAAAUUAUAAAUACAAAUCGAUCGAGUAGGCACCUGGAAAUGCAGGUGAUUGAUGGUGGCAAAUGCCCCCAGGCUGUUGUAACCUAGUCGGAAAUAAGGGUUUCCAGCUUCUGAAGCCAUGUAUAAAGCAAGCAAAAAGCUUGCACGAUCAAUCCUUUGUGGCAGGCACUCCAGGACGCGAGGGAUCAACAGCACAUGACCAUAUUCAAUAGGACUGACCUGCAAAAAUACAGAAGAAGAAGGAUCAGCCAAAAAGCUUCCUAAAAGAUAUUAAAAGCAAGACGAUCAUUUAGUUUCAAGUAGACAAACACAUACAUUGAUGGCAACAACACUGGGGGAACUCUCAACAUCAAUUGGAGCAUUGGGAAAGAACUGAGCUUCACCAUCCACGCUUGCUUCAAACUGAAAGAGCACCUCUUCCUGACCAACUUUGGUGAAGUUGAAUUUGCUUCCAUCGAAAGGCUGGAGCACCUUAUCAACGCGGAACUCAGUUGGUCGCUUCUUGAGAUGGCGUCCUUCAUUCAGCUGAGCAAUGAAGCCACACUCACCAGGAAUCACCUACACCAAAAUCAUCACACUAAACAUCACGCCAGAGCCCCAAAUCCCCAUAAGCAACCAAACUGCCUUUUUCUAAACCUGAAACAAACCCAAAAGCUUGGGACAGCUACAAGAUAAGAUUAUGGAGCCAAGGAAGAGACCUUAGUUUCACAGGCAGUGACAUCAUAGCGAAACAGACCCCUCUGCAUCCGAUCCUCCCACUGCAAAUCAAGAGAACAAGCAUCUUAACACGUAUCGAGCAACUUGAGCUGGACACAUAUAACAGAAUUACAACUACAGAACUCGCCGAAUUUCCCUUUUCGAGUUCGUCUUAUUCUUAGUCGGUCACAAAUUUACCUCUCCAAGCAGAAGAGAGUCGAGAAAAGCGACGGGAGGCUCCCUCUCCACAUGCCCAAGCAAAGCCCUGUCGCCUGGGACUUCCUUCUCCUUCUUGAAAGCGUAUAAAGGGAAUUUCGCCCCUAUUAUCCAUCCCAAAACCAAGGUAGACAACAGCUCAAUUACGCAACCCAGAAGACGCACGGAUGAAAUUCACAAAAAUCACAUAAAUUGCCAACCCACGAAAUAGAAAAUUCAGCCAAAAAAAAAAAAAAAUCUUACCUUGAACGCAGCACUUGUUGAGACAAUUGCGGCCACAACCCCCGACGCGCCCGCCUUCAACCUCCUCCUUCUGGUAAUUCGAGACGACGGUCGGAACCCUCUUAAUCUUGAGCAUCAUCUUCCCUCCCCGGUUUUUUAAGUACGAGGAAAAAAACACAAAAAACGAGAUCUAAAAAAAAAAAAGAACAGCGACUUGCUCGUUACACGCGGCGGAAUACGUCGUAGCUAGGGACGAAAACGAAGACUCCUAUAGGAAAGAAUAAUCUAGCAGUAGAGGAGGGAGGAGGGACCGCCGCCGGCGAGGAAGAGGAGGUCGGAGGGGCUGCCGCCUUCGGAGGGGAGGGCGCCUCGUCCGCCGUGCGGCGAAGGGUUGCCGACGCAGGAGGCGGCGAUCAGGCAACCCUUGCGGCGUCGAACGGAGCGGGCAUGGAUGAGUGGCCGGGCUACGCCGUGUAUAGCCGUGAUGUCCUCAACUCGUCUGCCCCGGGUUUUACCCCCCGACAAACACAACACUCGCCGCGAUUUCCUUCGACC